rnacentral:tRNA from 1 species
GCGAGUGUAGCUCAAUUGGUAGAGCAUCUGCUUGCCAUGCAGAAGGUCGUGGGUUCGACCCCCAUCACUCGCUCCA